rnacentral:rRNA from 1 species
UAAUACGUAGGGGGCUAGCGUUGUCCGGAUGUAUUGGGCGUAAAGAGCGUGUAGGCGGCCAGGUAGGUCUGGUGUGAAAACUCGAGGCUUAACCUCGAGAUGUCAUCGGAAACCAUCUGGCUAGAGUCCGGAAGAGGAGAGUGGAAUUCCUGGUGUAGCGGUGAAAUGCGCAGAUAUCAGGAAGAACACCAAUGGCGAAAGCAGCUCUCUGGGACGGUACUGACGCUGAGACGCG